rnacentral:rRNA from 1 species
CCUACGGGGGGCAGCAGUGGGGAAUAUUGGGCAAUGGAGGAAACUCUUACCCAGCAAUGCCGCGAGAAUGAAGAAGGUCUUCGGAUUGUAAGGUUCUUUAAUUGGGGACGAAAAAAACGACGGUACCCAAGGAAUAAGCCCCGGCUAACUACGUGCCAGCAGCCGCGGUAAUACGUAGGGGGCAAGCGUUGUUCGGAAUGACUGGGCGUAAAGGGUGUGUAGGCGGUUUAGCAAGUUAGAAGGGAAUUACCUAGGGCGUAACACAGU